rnacentral:rRNA from 1 species
ACGAACGCUGGCGGCGCGCCUAACACAUGCAAGUCGAACGGGAUGAAUUUUCUCACUGAGUUUUUUGCGAGUCAGCCGGAAGCGCCAUUGAUGCGAAGCAUCAAUUAGGCUUAUUCCAGUAAGACUGACACAAAGGGCAAAAGACUGAGUGAGGAAAUUCAUUCAGUGGCGAACGGGUGAGUAACGCGUGAGGAACCUGCCUCAAAGAGGGGGACAACAGUUGGAAACGACUGCUAAUACCGCAUAAGCCCACAGCUCGGCAUCGAGCAGAGGAAAAAGGAGCAAUCCGCUUUGAGAUGGCCUCGCGUCCGAUUAGCUGGUUGGUGAGGUAACGGCCCACCAAGGCGACGAUCGGUAGCCGGACUGAGAGGUUGAACGGCCACAUUGGGACUGAGACACGGCCCAGACUCCUACGGGAGGCAGCAGUGGGGAAUAUUGCACAAUGGGGGAAACCCUGAUGCAGCGACGCCGCGUGGAGGAAGAAGGUCUUCGGAUUGUAAACUCCUGUUGUUGAGGAAGAUAAUGACGGUACUCAACAAGGAAGUGACGGCUAACUACGUGCCAGCAGCCGCGGUAAAACGUAGGUCACAAGCGUUGUCCGGAAUUACUGGGUGUAAAGGGAGCGCAGGCGGGAGGACAAGUUGGAAGUGAAAUCCAUGGGCUCAACCCAUGAACUGCUUUCAAAACUGUUUUUCUUGAGUAGUGCAGAGGUAGGCGGAAUUCCCGGUGUAGCGGUGGAAUGCGUAGAUAUCGGGAGGAACACCAGUGGCGAAGGCGGCCUACUGGGCACCAACUGACGCUGAGGCUCGAAAGUGUGGGUAGCAAACAGGAUUAGAUACCCUGGUAGUCCACACCGUAAACGAUGAUUACUAGGUGUUGGAGGAUUGACCCCUUCAGUGCCGCAGUUAACACAAUAAGUAAUCCACCUGGGGAGUACGACCGCAAGGUUGAAACUCAAAGGAAUUGACGGGGGCCCGCACAAGCAGUGGAGUAUGUGGUUUAAUUCGACGCAACGCGAAGAACCUUACCAAGUCUUGACAUCCCUUGACGAACAUAGAAAUAUGUUUUCUCUUCGGAGCAAGGAGACAGGUGGUGCAUGGUUGUCGUCAGCUCGUGUCGUGAGAUGUUGGGUUAAGUCCCGCAACGAGCGCAACCCUUAUGGUCAGUUACUACGCAAGAGGACUCUGGCCAGACUGCCGUUGACAAAACGGAGGAAGGUGGGGAUGACGUCAAAUCAUCAUGCCCUUUAUGACUUGGGCUACACACGUACUACAAUGGCGUUAAACAAAGAGAAGCAAGACCGCGAGGUGGAGCAAAACUCAGAAACAACGUCCCAGUUCGGACUGCAGGCUGCAACUCGCCUGCACGAAGUCGGAAUUGCUAGUAAUCGUGGAUCAGCAUGCCACGGUGAAUACGUUCCCGGGCCUUGUACACACCGCCCGUCACACCAUGAGAGCCGGGGGGACCCGAAGUCGGUAGUCUAACCGCAAGGAGGACGCCGCCGAAGGUAAAACUGGUGAUUGGGGUG